rnacentral:tRNA from 1 species
ACCAGUGUGGCGUAGUGGUUUGAGUGUUGGACUAUGACUCUGGAGACCACGGUUCGAUUCCCAGCUUGGCCA